rnacentral:rRNA from 1 species
CAACAGGGAUUGCCCUAGUAACGGCGAGUGAAGCGGCAACAGCUCAAAUUUGAAAUCUGGCUCUCGGGCCCGAGUUGUAAUUUGUAGAGGAUACUUUUGAUGCGGUGCCUUCCGAGUUCCCUGGAACGGGAUGCCAUAGAGGGUGAGAGCCCCGUCUGGUUGGAUGCCAAAUCUCUGUAAAGUUCCUUCGACGAGUCGAGUAGUUUGGGAAUGCUGCUCUAAAUGGGAGGUAUAUGUCUUCUAAAGCUAAAUACCGGCCAGAGACCGAUAGCGCACAAGUAGAGUGAUCGAAAGAUGAAAAGCACUUUGAAAAGAGAGUUAAAAAGUACGUGAAAUUGUUGAAAGGGAAGCGUUUAUGACCAGACUUGGGCUUGGUUGAUCAUCUGGGGUUCUCCCCAGUGCACUCUUCCAGUCCAGGCCAGCAUCAGUUUUCCCCGGGGGAUAAAGACUUCGGGAAUGUGGCUCUCUUCGGGGAGUGUUAU